GGGCUUAACACAUGCAAGUCGAGGGGUAACAGGGUGUAUUUAUACACCGCUGACGACCGGCGCACGGGUGAGUAACGCGUAUGCAACCUGCCUUUGACAGAGGGAUAGCCCAUGGAAACGUGGAUUAAUACCUCAUAGUCUCUUUUUUCUUCCUGGGAAAUAGAGUAAAACGUCAGUGGUCAAAGAUGGGCAUGCGUCCUAUUAGGCAGUUGGCGGGGUAACGGCCCACCAAACCGAUGAUAGGUAGGGGUUCUGAGAGGAAGGUCCCCCACACUGGUACUGAGACACGGACCAGACUCCUACGGGAGGCAGCAGUGAGGAAUAUUGGUCAAUGGUCGAGAGACUGAACCAGCCAAGUCGCGUGAGGGAAGACUGCCCUAUGGGUUGUAAACCUCUUUUCUACUGGGAGAAUAAGCCUUAUGUAUAAGGUGAUGACAGUACAGUAGGAAUAAGCAUCGGCUAACUCCGUGCCAGCAGCCGCGGUAAUACGGAGGAUGCGAGCGUUAUCCGGAUUUAUUGGGUUUAAAGGGUGCGUACGCGGCUUUAUAGUUUAGUGGUAAAUUUCGGAGCUUCACUCCGGUCCGCCAUUAAAACUGUAGAGCUAGAGAAUGGACGAGGUAGGCGGAAUAAGUUAAGUAGCGGUGAAAUGCAUAGAUAUAACUUAGAACUCCGAUAGCGAAGGCAGCUUACCAGACCAUAACUGACGCUGAUGCACGAGAGCGUGGGUAGCGAACAGGAUUAGAUACCCUGGUAGUCCACGCCGUAAACGAUGCUCACCGGCCCUUAGCGAUAAGACAGUUAGGGGUUAAUUGAAAGAAUUAAGUGAGCCACCUGGGGAGUACGUCGGCAACGAUGAAACUCAAAGGAAUUGACGGGGGCCCGCACAAGCGGAGGAACAUGUGGUUUAAUUCGAUGAUACGCGAGGAACCUUACCUGGGUUUAAAUGUAUAUUGCAUAAUCUGGAAACAGUUUUUCUCUUCGGAGCUAUAUACAAGGUGCUGCAUGGUUGUCGUCAGCUCGUGCCGUGAGGUGUCGGGUUAAGUCCCAUAACGAGCGCAACCCUUACCGUUAGUUGCUAGCAUGUAAUGAUGAGCACUCUAGCGGGACUGCCACCGUAAGGUGAGAGGAAGGGGGGGAUGACGUCAAAUCAGCACGGCCCUUACAUCCAGGGCGACACACGUGUUACAAUGGCCAUAACAGCGGGUAGCUACCGGGUGACCGGAUGCAAAUCUCGAAAAUUGGUCUAAGUUCGGAUUGGAGUCUGCAACCCGACUCCAUGAAGUUGGAUUCGCUAGUAAUCGCGCAUCAGCCAUGGCGCGGUGAAUACGUUCCCGGGCCUUGUACACACCGCCCGUCAAGCCAUGGAAGCUGGGAGUACCUGAAGUCCGUAACCGCGAGGAUCGGCCUAGGGUAAUACCGGUAACUGGGG
rnacentral:rRNA from 1 species